AAGCACCUCCAUAGCACUUUGUCAUCACCUGCUGAGAAUCCGUCUCUGAAAGCAGAGGUCAGGGAGGCCCUCACUCUGGUGGGUUAUAACAACCCUGUUAAAGGCCUAGGCAUCAGGGUUCGACGGAGGGCGAAUCAGGUGCCAUCCCGGGCUUCAUGCUGGGUGUGUUCCAGAUCCCUCUAAAUGAUUGUGAGGAGCUCUACAGGAGCUGGGUUCUGACGCCUUCAAGCAGAACGUCAUCGUUGGCACCAUCAAGAUGGGCUGGAGCCAUUUCUUCUGCGACUCGCAGACCUUGGAGCAAAUCCUCAAAGAGAAAAUGGGCUCUCAUGGUGGAAACAUCAAGAAACUCCAAAUGCCCAAAGUUAAGCUUUGACACAUGGUAUGACUCAUUUACACUCUCUGGAGUGUGGCGCUGAUGAUCACACACACACACGCCCUCUCAUGGAUGGCAAGGUGGACAGUGAGGAAGGAAGGCCCUCACGAUCUCUUAAAGGUCCUAGUAGUCAUUUUUUUUCAAUAUCAAAUAAUUUCUGGGUAAUAAUUGAGUACCUAACUGUGAUUGUUUUCAAUUAUGGUCAAAAAUAAACAAAAAUAGAUUUUUAGCGAAGGGCAAUUUCUCAAGCAACAAUUUUGCUAGGACUGCCUGGGAUUGGUCUGAGCAGAGAGGCGAACACUGAAAAUGUGCUUUUAUUGGCAGAGAGAUUUGGAACUCCCUUAGUGUUUUACACGUAGUCCCUUUCAGCAGAAUGUUUGUGAACUCAGUGCAGGAACUCAAACCCCUCAAAAGAGCCCCCGAAACUAACUGAACUGAGAGCCAUCUCGAGAGGGGGUCUGAGUUUGGGUUCCCUUUAAUAGGACAAUGUGGACAUGAAGCUCCCCAGGUUCCCUUGUCAUUAUUCCCGCCCCACACCUAGAUUACUGCAAACGUUGUUUCCCCUGGCAUAAGCCCUCACAUUGGAGCCAAAAGAGAGAGAAGAUGAUGAUGUACAGGUUCAAGAAAAACAACGUGUGCCGUUUUUGAAUGUUGAUUAACGAUUGUCAUGGAUGCUUAGAAAUUCCAGAAUAUGUGUGGUUUUUAGUUCAAAUGAUUUGUUUUCAAUAUGUGAUCUGUAGGCUAAGAGAGCUUCUCAAGCUGUUUAGUUGAUUGUGGGGUUUGAAUAGUGUGAAAACAUAUUUGUUGAGAAUCACAACCAUGUCUAUUUUAGCUCUUAAAGGGGAAGUAGCCUACAUUGAGUGUACAAUUUUUUUAAGUACAACAUUAUGUAAUAUGCAGUUAUUCGUCUGCUAUUUAGUUACCAAUCAUUUUUGCAUGUUAACAGUAUCCUCGGAUUACAAUUAUUGUCUUAUAUUUGCAAUCUAUUGCCUCCCAAAAUAUAAGUAGGUGUAUCAAGGUGUCUGAUAACACAUUCUGAUGGAAUGGCUUGUCCAGCACAUUGUAAAAACCCAAAAGGCAUUGAGUGAAAAAAAAUAUUGUUUCCUUUCUAAACAUAUCAAUGUGAAUUCAAAGAGGACUCGGAUCACAGAAUAGUUAAAGUGAACUGACAAAAGAGUUGAGUCCUCAUUCAAGGGAAGGGUGCAUUGAGAAUACAAAGGUACAGUAACUGAGUUAUUUAGCUUUUUUUUCCUUUUUUUUACCCCAGAGUUCACUUCUUUUAAAGAAGAUUAUAUGUGAAAACACCCUUGGUUUAACACAUUUUCCACAUGGUGAUAACACCACGGAAGGCCUAAACUCCAUCCUACAAAAACAGCCUGAAAUUUCAAGCAGUCUUUUCAAACAACUCUUAUGCAUAAAGGGAAUUGUCAAUCAAAUCAAAUGAAAUUGUACUUGUCACAUGUGCCGAAUACAACAUAGACCUUACAGUGAAAUGUUUACUCACAAGCCCUUAACCAACAAUGCAGUUUUAAGAAAAAGUACCUUAAAAAUAAAUAAAAGUUACAAAUAAAUAAAGAGCAGCAGUAAAAUAACAAUAGCGAGGCUAUAUACAGGGGAUACCGGUACAGUGUCGUUCAUGUUCACAUUAUCUUAAUUUACAAAAUUGAACAGUAUUAUUCCAAACUCAUGGUGUGGAAAUAUAUAUAUAUAUAUAUAUAUAUAUAUAGAACAUAAAACAUAGAAAAAAACACAUUUUUGACUGGACUGGGCCUUUAAAGGCCCCAUGCAGUUUUUGAAUUUUCUUUUUCAAUCAUCACUGUAUGUAUCAAUAUAUUUGAUGUUUAUUUAAUGAAAAUAACUUCAACCUGUAUGUU